rnacentral:rRNA from 1 species
AUGCUUAACACAUGCAAGUCGAACGGAAACGAUCCUAGCUUGCUAGGAGGCGUCGAGCGGCGGACGGGUGAGUAACGCGUGAGAAUCUACCCAUGAGUGGGGGACAACCCGGGGAAACUCGGGCUAAUACCGCAUACGCCCUACGGGGUAAAGCAGGGGACCUUCGGGCCUUGCGCUGAUGGAUGAGCUCGCGUCGGAUUAGCUUGUUGGUGAGGUAAAGGCUCACCAAGGCGACGAUCCGUAGCUGGUCUGAGAGGAUGAUCAGCCACACCGGGACUGAGACACGGCCCGGACUCCUACGGGAGGCAGCAGUGGGGAAUCUUGGACAAUGGGGGCAACCCUGAUCCAGCCAUGCCGCGUGUGUGAAGAAGGCCUUCGGGUUGUAAAGCACUUUCAGCAGGGAGGAAGGCUUACCCCUAAUACGGGUGAGUACUUGACGUUACCUGCAGAAGAAGCACCGGCUAAUUUCGUGCCAGCAGCCGCGGUAAUACGAAAGGUGCAAGCGUUAAUCGGAAUUACUGGGCGUAAAGCGCGCGUAGGCGGUGUGUUAAGUCGGAUGUGAAAGCCCAGGGCUCAACCUUGGAAUUGCAUCCGAUACUGGCACGCUAGAGUGCAGUAGAGGGAGGUGGAAUUUCCGGUGUAGCGGUGAAAUGCGUAGAGAUCGGAAGGAACACCAGUGG